rnacentral:ncRNA from 1 species
ACGAGCCACAUGCAGGGAAACUUGCACGUGUGGUUCUGGCCGGGCUUCCCCCAGAAAGUAUACAGCAAAUUCUUUCUGUGAAAACGGGGAAAAUUCAAC